UACGUAGGGUGCGAGCGUUGUCCGGAAUUAUUGGGCGUAAAGAGCUUGUAGGCGGUUUGUCGCGUCUGCUGUGAAAAUCCGGGGCUCAACCCCGGACUUGCAGUGGGUACGGGCAGACUAGAGUGUGGUAGGGGAGACUGGAAUUCCUGGUGUAGCGGUGAAAUGCGCAGAUAUCAGGAGGAACACCGAUGGCGAAGGAAGGUCUCUGGGCCACUACUGACGCUGAGAAGCGAAAGCAUGGGGAGCGAACAGGAUUAGAUACCCGCGUA
rnacentral:rRNA from 1 species